UACGAAGGGCCCAAGCGUUAUCCGGAUUUAUUGGGCUUAAAGGGUGCGUAGGCGGGCUAUUAAGUCAGUGGUGAAAGCCCCAAGCUUAACUUGGGAACUGCCAUUGAUACUGAUGACCUUGAGUACAUUUGAAGUGGGCGGAAUGUGUCAUGUAGCGGUGAAAUGCUUAGAUAUGACACAGAACACCGAUUGCGUAGGCAGCUCACUAAACUGUAACUGACGCUGAGGCACGAAAGCGUGGGGAGCAAACAGG
rnacentral:rRNA from 1 species